rnacentral:lncRNA from 1 species
GAACUGGUGUCCCGAUACAGGCAAUGAAGAUAUGAAUUCGCCCCUCCCACACAAAGUGACAACAAAAAGCCAUCAGCCUUGGUUUCCAAGAUGAGUUUUCUCCUUGCGAUUCAGCCUCAAGCAGAUCUGUAGAUAACCCUAUAGCCUGAGGAAGAGGAGCUUCUGCAAACGUGACUGAAGGAAGCCCCCAUACAAGCACUGACCAUGUCUUAACCAAGCUUCCAGCCAAAACACAAUUAGAGCGAAAAGCUGAGCUUUGCGGAAAGGAAGAGGUGAAACUGUG